UCUACUAGUGGUCUUCGACACCGAAAUAUCACGCAAAUGCUGGGCUAUUGCAGGCGCAAGGGGGAGCUUCUCCUAGUAUAUGACUACAUGGAAAAUGGUAGUCUUGACAAGUACCUACACACAAGAAAUGGCCCAACUCUAUGUUGGUCCGAAAGGUAUACAAUCAUCAAAGGUCUGGCAUCAAGUUUGUUAUAUCUACAUGAGGAUUGGGAGCAGGUCGUCAUCCACAGAGAUGUAAAGGCAAGCAAUGUGCUCUUGGAUGGUAAGAUGAAUGGAAGGUUGGGCGAUUUUGGUCUUGCAAGGAUAUACGACCACGAAACCGCCGCUGAAACCACCCAUGUGGCUGGCACCAUGGGAUAUAUUGCGCCAGAA
rnacentral:rRNA from 1 species